AUACGGAGGAUCCGAGCGUUAUCCGGAUUUAUUGGGUUUAAAGGGAGCGUAGGUGGAUUGUUAAGUCAGUUGUGAAAGUUUGCGGCUCAACCGUAAAAUUGCAGUUGAUACUGGCUGUCUUGAGUACAGUAGAGGUGGGCGGAAUUCGUGGUGUAGCGGUGAAAUGCUUAGAUAUCACGAAGAACUCCGAUUGCGAAGGCAGCUCACUGGACUGCAACUGACACUGAUGCUCGAAAGUGUGGGUAUCAAACAGGAUUAGAUACCCUGGUAGUCCACACAGUAAACGAUGAAUACUCGCUGUUUGCGAUAUACAGUAAGCGGCCAAGCGAAAGCAUUAAGUAUUCCACCUGGGGAGUACGCCGGCAACGGUGAAACUCAAAUGAAUUGACGGGG
rnacentral:rRNA from 1 species